rnacentral:piRNA from 1 species
UCCAGCUUGCCUACUCAUGCUCAGAGGC